rnacentral:rRNA from 1 species
CCUACGGGGAGCUGCAGUGGGGAAUAUUGCACAAUGGGCGCAAGCCUGAUGCAGCCAAGCCGCGUGUGUGAAGAAGGCCUUCGGGUUGUAAAGCACUUUCAGCGGGGAGGAAGGCGUUAAGGUUAAUAACCUUGUCGAUUGACGUUACCCGCAGAAGAAGCACCGGCUAACUCCGUGCCAGCAGCCGCGGUAAUACGGAGGGUGCAAGCGUUAAUCGGAAUUACUGGGCGUAAAGCGCACGCAGGCGGUCUGUCAAGUCGGAUGUGAAAUCCCCGGGCUCAACCUGGGAACUGCAUUCGAAACUGGCAGGCUAGAGUCUUGUAGAGGGGGGUAGAAUUCCAGGUGUAGCGGUGAAAUGCGUAGAGAUCUGGAGGAAUACCGGUGGCGAAGGCGGCCCCCUGGACAAAGACUGACGCUCAGGUGCGAAAGCGUGGGGAGCAAACAGGAUUAGAUACCCCGGUAGUC